rnacentral:rRNA from 1 species
UACGUAGGGUGCGAGCGUUAAUCGGAAUUACUGGGCGUAAAGCGUGCGCAGGCGGUGAUGUAAGACAGAUGUGAAAUCCCGGGCUCAACCUGGGACCUGCAUUUGUGACUGCAUCGCUGGAGUGCGGCAGAGGGGGAUGGAAUUCCGCGUGUAGCAGUGAAAUGCGUAGAUAUGCGGAGGAACACCGAUGGCGAAGGCAAGUCCCCUGGGCCUGCACUGACGCUCAUGCACGAAAGCGUGGGGAGCAAACAGG